rnacentral:lncRNA from 1 species
AAACAUGAAAGUUUGUUUGGGUAUGGGAAUUCUGCAGCUCAUCUUAUGGGUUGUCUGGGCAGGGGUUACUCGCCAUCCAUCACGCUGGAAGUUAUGGGUGGUGGUGAUUGGUGGAGCUCUUGCUGCACUCCUUGAGAUAUAUGACUUUCCUCCCUAUAGGGGAUUUGUGGAUGCCCAUGCUCUAUGGCACGCCACCACCAUUCCUCUAACCUUUUUGUGGUGGAGCUUUGUGCGGGAUGACAGUGAAUUCAGGACAACAACUCUCAUCAAGAAAGCAAAGUAGAAUGAAGAAUCGCGUGCUUGUUCUAAUUGCUAAUUUUGUGUAUGAAAUCAUUGCUUGUUUAGGUCUUUGUUAAUUGUCAGUUGUCACUAGGCUGUCCUUAUUUUUCUCGCAAUGGGCAUGUCUAGUAGAUGUCUAGUCAGGUGAGUUUCUCUAUUUCCAGCUUCAGUAGGUCUAGGUCAGACUCGUCGUUUGAUGGUCACAUUCAUCUCCUGUAGUUUUGUAAUAAAUUUGAUACUCUGUCUGUGGCUUGAACUUUACUUGAUUUGAAUUACGUACAGGGUGUGUUUAACAUAUUUUCAUGUUCUGUAAAUCAAGUUUAAUAUUCUCACUGGACAUUAUUGUAAUUUGUAAGCUGAGGUCACUUUGUUUUCGUGAAAUACUACCCUUUUGGUAGUCGUACAUUAUUGUGAAAUGCCAGUACUACUCUUUGCUGUACAAUAUUGUCAAAUAAUUUCAGGUCAGGACCCCCGUAAUGUGUCAAUAUUCCAGAUCCAUGCUAUUUAGAUUUAGUGAUGAUAUUCAUAGAUUUCAAAUCUCUAAAGCAGAUUCUGUAAUAUUUACAAUCUACCUUCCUAUAACCAGCUGGGUUCUUAUACCUAUUUCUGUUGGUAGUUUGGGACAGCAAAUCAUACAUGCAAGUAAGUUAUGCUGGGCGUCUAAUUAAAAGGCUUUUGAUCAAGAGGCAAUUAAGGAUGAUCCAAGUUUUAUUUCUUUAAUUUAUAGACCCUUUUUAGGAUAAGUGAUGAUUAAUCUAAAGAUUGACUAUAUAAGUUAUAACAUUAGAAACCAACCCCGAAGUUUUGAGAAUUGGGAAUUGGUCUAAAGUAAUAGUAUAUACUAUAAAGGGAGAAGGGGUAAAUAUACCACUUUAACUUUGUAAUUAAGGUGGAUACCUUAGUUAAAAAGGUGUUAAGACUAUACACAUAUACCCUCACCAUUUAACAAAUGGUGCCUACAUACUUUGGUUAUCUAACAAAUGAGGCAUAUUUAUCCUUUUUCUUCAAAGAGAAGGUGCACAUGGUACAACCUCUGGGCUUUGUUGAUCAUGUCUAUCCAAAUCACGUUUGUCUGCUUAAGAGAGCACUCUACGACUUGAAACAAGCUCCCAAAGUAUGGUUUGAAAUUAAAAAUUCAACUUUUACAUUCUUCACUUAGCAUUCUCUUGAAGUAAACCUGAUUCAUUUUUGUUUGUGCUCCACUCAUAUGAAGGGUGUCCCCAUACUUCUCUAUGAAGAUGACAUAUUAUUGAGUGGGAGCAAUCCUUCCUUAAUAUAUAGGCUCGUCAAUAAAUUAAGCACUCAGUUUGCACUCAAGGACAAGGGGAAUAUUCACUAUUUUUUGUGCAUCGAAGUUCACCGCACUAAUCCUGUACUGUUUCAUGCUCGUACCAAAUAUGUCUUGACUAUCAUUUUGUGUGCGAGAGGUCUUUAAAGGAUGUGACUAAAUUUAUUCCGUCAUCGUGAUUUAUUUUGUCAUUGUAAUUAGACCCUGACUUGGACUUGAACGCUUCACAAAUAUCGUGUAUCGUCUGAUAAGUUCUUCAUGUGUGUGACUCUCAUAAUGUAGUAGGAAUAUACAUAAACAUAGUAGAAGUAGAUACAAAUAGAUUAUAAGAAGGUGCACAAUGCCUUAAAAAGUAGAUGUCUUGGUGAGGAGAAGUCAUAGGCGGACUAUAAUAAAUUAAUAAGUAAGGAGAGGUACAUGUAGGGCGGAUCAGUAUUGAGAAUAGAUAAUUAGACAGAAAAUAAUACAUCUUUAGUUUAUUUAGGACAUAACCUUAUUAGAUAGGAGGAUAUGGAAAUCGCGAAUUCGAAUAGAAAGUUAUUAGAUAGUGAGUGUUUUCUCACUUUCUUGCAAGAUAUGCUUGACGAUAGUUUGGUGCAUCUAGUAGUAGUAUUUUGUAGUUUUUUGUCCUACGAUUUUUGUUACUAUCAGUUAUUGCAUUAUUUGGUUACGUUGUUGCAAUUGUUUUUUGUUUCUAUAUAUUAUGUGAUGUUUUUUUCUCUUAUUUGCAAUGUCCUAUUUAUUUUUGUAUUUUCUAAAUAAAAAAUGUGAAUAUUUGUCUAACUGCUAAACAUCGCAGUGUGCCUAUAAGGCAAACAAUGACUCAAGUAAUACUAAUGACACAAUAUUUAUCUAUGGCUCACCAAUAGUCUUUUUGAAUAGCUAGUCUCUCAUAAACGGUAUGACCUUUUCUACUUUAACAUAUCAUCAAAAACAACGAUGGUAUGCCUGGAUACUGGGUACUCAAUAAAUGUCUUGGGACAAAAAUUCAUAUAAACAAAACAGCCACACUAAUGAUGCUAAUAAAAUAAUUAUUAAUAUAAAAUAGUUAUGAUAAAACAAUUCAAAUUCAGUAAAGUCACGUAACUUAGAAAAAACAUCAAUGAAGAAAUAAUCAAAAUUUGUUCUUUAUACUUAAUAAUCAUAUACGACAAUCAAUAGUUACAAGUCAAGUCAAUUAUGUCAUUAUCAUGCCUAAUAUGAAAAUAAAUAAUCAAACACACUUAUAUUCAUGAGCAAAUCAAACUAAUGAAGCCAACUCAAGGACAGAUUUAAGUUUAGUGCGUUAUACUUUAAGACAGAUCAUUGGAUUUAAGAGCAAUUUAUUAAGGCUACCAACACUCGAAAUAUUCUUCCUCCCAAAUAGCAAGGCUGAUCCAAGAUCAAUUCAUCAUGCUCAUCAAUUCAGUCCCUGAAGACUAUUCUUCCCCUCGAAUAUCAAGAUUGUCCAUUCAGACCCAAACACAAAUAGUUUCAAUCACGACACUUUAGUCAAAUCAUUAGUCCCUUGUUAGGAUCAAGCACUUACUAUCAUGCCAAAAGCUAUAAGCUGAUAGUAAAGGUGCAACUUUAUUUCUUAAUUAAGUCCACCAAGCAAGCGCCAUGUUCGAUCAUGACUCCGACCCGGGCCACCCAACCCCUCGUGGGCCUUGCCAUAGGCAGGAUGUUGACAUUACUCAACAAUCCCCCUCCCGACACCCGCCUCAUGUAGAAUGUUGCUCUUGGGAAUCGAACUCACGACCUUGACUCUGAUACCAGUUGUUAGGAUCAAGCGUUUACCAUCAUGCCAAAAGUUAUAGCUGAUAGCAAAGGCACAACUUUAUUUCUUAACUAAGUCCACUAAGCAAGCGCCAUGUUCGAUCAUGACUCCGACGACCCGGGCCACCCAACCCCUCGUGGGACUUGCCAUAGGCAGGAUGUUGACAUUACUCAACACUAGCAUAAUUAUUCAAAACAUUUUAAAAUCAAUCUUCUCAUUAUUUAGAGGUACAUCAAAUUAUUAUUCAUAUUAGAAAUCAUGUUUAAAGCCAUUAAGUGGAUAUUUGGAUUAACUUAUUUUUUGUGGCUUUUGACUUUCAAGUUCUUCUUUAGUUUUGAAAGUGUUUGGAUAACUCAAAAAGUGUUUAAAAUACUCUUUCAAGGAAGGAUGAAAGAGUAUUAAAAAAGAAGAAGCCAAAAGUCAAAAGUUGGGUGUUCCCAACUUAUGACUUUUAACUUAUAAGUCAUUUUAAAAAAGUCAAUCCAAACACCCUCUAAAUCAUGUUUUAAAUCAAUAGAUUAUUCGUAGCUCUAAAUUCAUCUCAACAAACUUCAUUAAUGAAGAAAACACAUUCCAUACAUAUAUUAUAAAAUAAGCAAAAUAUGAAGACUCGAUGCGAGUGUUGAACAUCUUACGGAAAAUACCUCCUCCACGAACACUUGUAUUGAAUUCACCAAAGCUUAAACUUCACACGAACUUUUGUAGGAAAUUCUCCAAGCUUGAGGCGUGUCGAAAGACACCGUCCUUAAGGAUAUUUCACCUGAUAUAGAUGUAUCCCGGCCCCCAGGAUUCAACAAGCUCUUCUAGUACAAAACUAGGAGCCAAAAAUCAACAAUGCUACACAAUAGAAAGAAAAUCUAGCACAUGAAACAUGGACAAAGGAGAAAGGAAAAUCUCUCUUCAACUUCUUCCUUUACGUGAACCAAGAAGCAAAUCAUUUAUAGAAAAUGAGAUAAGAUCAUUCUCCCAAAUGUUUGCAGGAAAUUCAAGACAAUGAUAAGAGGAUUAAAUGGUCAUAAAGGAUAAUUAUGGGAAUGUUUAAACCUGAAAGUCAACUGCCAAAAUAUGGCUUUCAAUCGUGGAAAAUAUAAUGGAAUUAUGGCUAAUCAAGUCUAGGCAUUCAAUCACAAUAAAUAUAUAUUUAAUACUCAUAAACAAGAUAUGAAAGAACGUACCUAGACAAUAUUAUGAACACUUCUUUUUGAGAUUUUAAAACCAUUUUUUCAACAAGUUUGUCUCACACACGCUUAAAGCCGUAUUGAAAAUUUCCCUAGUCAAAAGUAUGUUUGAAAAGAAACAUACCUCAAAUCUCACUAAAAUGCCUUAAUGUGCUUAACAACAUUCAACGAUAAGUCUCACAAAGAGUCGUCAAGAAAUCCAUCUUCAAUGUCGAUCUCAAAUCAAACUCCUAGAAUCUACGAAUUAGAAUGAGGAUUUACACAUUACUUUAUGAUGAAAUCAACGUUAUUAUCAAGGUGAUGAGUUGAUAUUUUUACUAACCCACCUCUUAUUUUUACUUAAUUUUUUCUUUGAUGAAUUAAGUAUUAGUUCCUUGAAUUGUGUUUGUUUUAGAUAUUUUGAGAUUUAGAAGGAUUUUUUUUAAAGAAUUAGAAUUAAGAAGAAAUUGAGCUAAAACGAACAGAGGACUGAGGAGGAAUCAUGCGUUCAGGUGCUGCAAAACAUUGAUUUUAAUUGUUAGUAGUGUAGGCAAAAAAUUUUCAUAAGAGGUGUCAAUAUUUAAAAAUAAAUAAACAAAUAAAUAAUUGACUAGGAAUUAAAAGUUGGAAUCUCAAUAACAUUUUGGGCUUGCUGAGGAUCGAAUACGGCCACACCUAGAGAGUAUGAAUGAUCGAAUUAGGUCACACUUGAGAGUAUGAAUGCUUCAUUUGCGCAGCAAACUAACAAUAUCGUUUUUAUCUAUAUUAUAUUUUUUAAGAUUUUUUUAAUGUUAUAAUAGUAAUAAUUUUUCUUUUUAAAUCUUCAUUUAAAGGUUUAAUUACAUGUAGCAUUGAUACUAAGGUUUUUUCUUCUAUGUACCAUAGUGGUUUGACUAGAUUAAAAUCUAGUUCCAUUAGUAACUUGGCUCUAAUACCAUUAUUUUAUUCGCUGUAAAACUAACAGAGUUGCGGAAUAAUAUGUUGUAAAAAGCACACAUUUUUUUAGUAUCUUUUGAGCAUCUUUUAAUGCAAAAUGCUCUUCUAUUCUAAGCAAUUUUAUUUCAUGAAUGGCUAUAAUUAAUUUUGUAGUUAUAAAGCAAGUGCUUAGAUAUACUUUUUCCAUUUUAGGAAGGGCUCUAUUAAUAUGAUGGAUGGCGAUGCGAUGUUUCCAUGCUCUCCUUCUAAUUGAAUGCACAUGGCGUUGUAUAUGCCUCAUAGCAUGAAUAUAGAUAAAAUACUGUAAUAUUUCAUCACAAUCAACUUUGAAUAAUUUAAAUUUCCUGUAGGUACUAAGUAUUUUUCUUUUUGUUUAAGUAUGCAUAUAAUAUGAUAUAAUUUGUUUGUAAAAUUAAUAAUAUGCAAUAAUAAGGUGUGCGUGUAUACCUUCCUUCUCUCUGAUCGAUGAACAGUCCUUAUCGCUACCUCGAUAGCUCUCCUUUCAAGCCAUGAACAGUAUUUCACCCUCUUCGACUACUCCUUACUGUUCUUCCUUUGGGCUGAAGAUCGCAACCUUCACUUAAGACUAUUUAUAGAUUUGAAGAAGAGAGGUAUAAAAACCAACCUUUUAUUUCAUAUUAUAAUUUUUACAAUCAAACCUUACAUAUUAUAUCUAUACUCACAACAUAUUGAAAAUACUUUUCCCUGUCGAGAUAAGUUUCUACUCACUCUCCCUAGAGGUACCUAACAUUUUUCUUAAAUGGAUAUUUCUAAGAAAGACUAGUCUGCCUCUAUUAUGAGAAGUUCCUCUCCUUUUAUAGAUAUAAGGAGGGACUUGAUUACAAUUUUUAUAUCUUUAGGGAAGUCUCUAAGAAAAUUGUUUUUCUUCUUUCGUCCUUCAAUAAUUCUGAUGGCCGACAUUAAGUGAUUUCUCUUUUUGACUAAAGAGAAAGGUUGAAAGAGAUAAGAUUCUCUUUUAUCUUCUUUGACGUAAGUGCUUACGUCAUUUUGUUCUGUCUUUUUGACAGCUUACAUUUCAAGCUUCCUCAUCUUGUGGUAAAUCGUGUUUAUGGUCUAGCAUUUUGCAGGCUAGUUUCCAUGUUUCCUCUAUUGCUUUUAACUUGUGUAACUCGAUAUCAAGGAUUUUGUCUUUUAUGACUUUAGAUUUGGACCUUCCUUUUGUCAUCAGGACCCAAUCAUGAUCAUGAUCUAUUACCUUUAUGUCUUCAUUGUAAAAUCGCUUGAGAAUAAAGUAAAAAGCCUUAAUUCCCAAUGCUCUUUUAGUUUGUAUCCAUUUUUUAUUUAAAUGCGGGAGUUUUUUAUCUACUCUUGUUGCUUUGAUGUUAAAGUCUUUUAACUUUUCUAUAGUGAUGUAAUUUAUCGUAGGUAAUACACUUGUUCAUCUUUGCAUUCCAUAGCAAUGCUAAAAAAUCUGCAGUAGACUCCUUCACCUUGUGCAUAAUUUUUUAUCGAAUUAACUAGUUGUUUAGGUAAUUCCGAUAAUUCUUUUAGUUCUACCUUGGCAUAUACUCGGUCUAGAUAUCCGAAUUCGAAUAAUUGGGCUGUGAACCCUGGAGAUCCGUUAGGAAAUAUGGAGAUUCUUGGGAACAAGCUAGUUGUGCUCAACACUCCAAAUGUUUCUCCACUUUCUUCUGGGAGAUUGUAAAUGAGUUUUGUAAAGGUCAGAAACUGUUCUUCUUUAGGAUGUUGUCUUCCAACCUGAAAAGAAGAAAAAACUUUGGUUCCUGAUGGAACUUUGUUAGAGUUUUCUUUUUUUAUAAAAGUAAUUUUUUCUUCUUUGGAUGUAUCAUCCUUUUGUAUUGCUUGGCUUUUACCUUUGUCCGAAGACUCCGGUUUCGGCAUAUCCAUGCUUACCGAUGAGAUGUUUUUGGAACUAAGUGUUAGUGGGACAUCUCUUGCCAUUUUUUUGGGAUUAAUAUUCCCUUCAGGACUGGAAUUCCUUUUUGGACGUGUGUCCAAAUGUUCACAUAAUAACAGAAAUUCAUUCAUGUUUUCUGCUUGAUCGAUGCUUAGCUGGUUAAUUUUGGAUUGCAAUUUUCUUUCCUGUUCCGAUAAGCUCAUCAAAUCAUCUCUAAUGUUAAAUAACUUUUGACUUUUGUCAUCUAUUGAAUCAGACACUGUAAUGACCCUCCUGGUCAUUUCUGUGUCUUGCCUUCUGUGUGUCGUUUAGAGCGUUUCUGUAGCGACCCCAAGUCAUUUAUGACUUGCUGGGACUGAUAGUUAGGUCACCUGGUCGUUCAUUUGGUUAUGGUGUGAGUUUUAGUGUUUUGGAGCUUAUGAACCUUGAACGAUCAUUUUCGAUCAAAAGUUUGAGAAGAUGACAUUGGAAUCCAAUUCUGACGAUUCCAUCAGUUCCGGAAGGGUCAUUUCAGGCUAGUAGCAUGGUGAACAUGACUCCCGAGGUUUUCAGUGUGAGUCGGUGCGAUUAGGCGUUUUAACUUUAAGUUUAAGCCUAAGUUUGACUUUGGUCAACAUUCUGAGUAAACGCGCUCGAAUGAGAAUUCCGUCAGCGCGGUUAGCUUCAGAAUGUCAAGUUUGGUCUAGAUUGACCUUUCUUUUGUGUCUCGAGAUUUUCGAUAUUUUUCGGAGCUCUUUUGUAGUUUUUGACUUAAAAUGACAUUUGGGUGUGGGACCCACUUUUUAUUAAGAUGACCUCGUAUGGAAAUUUUGACUGUGCCAUUGAGUCCGGAAUAUCAAAUUUGGUAUGGUUGCAUAUCUCGUUUGCGUGCACACCCCGUCGGAGUAUUUUUUAGUUUUGGAAAUUAUUGCAGAAAAUCAGCUAUAAAUGCAGAAAAUCAGCAACAUUUCCCAAACUUCAAACCCUCAUAACUCUCUCAUCUUUCAUCCGAAUUAGGCGAUUCAAAGUGCGGGAGCUUUGUAUUUUUGGUUGCUUCGUUGUAGAGUGUUUGAAAGUUGUCGGAUGCACGUAGUUCGAGGUAAAUUUCGCAAUAACCUGACUGUUGUACCCUAUUUCGAGCUGCUGUUUUUGAAAUCCUUGUUUUGGUCAUAUCUCACUCAUUUUAGCUCGGUUUUGGAUGAUUCAAAGUCCUACGUGUUGAAAAUUGUCGUGUCUUCGUCAUAGAGUGUUCAAGGAGUGCUGGGCACUUUUUGAUUCUCGUUAAUUUCGAGUUUUAGACUGCUGCAAUGUUUUCUUUUAAGUUGAUUAAAGUGUGGUUUUCUUGCUUGUUGGGUGUUGAUGCGUUUUGAUCCCCGAAUUGUGUUCCAUUUUGGAACAGAAGUUUGGGGUGUUGUUUAGGGUGUCUUGACGGAGUCAAAAUUCGGACAGUUCGAUGCAGGUCCCACGAUUCCCGUUUUGACUCCAAAAUUGAUCCCUCUCUGUUUGUUGUGAUUUUUGUAUCUAAACUACCGUAAUAACGUUGUGACUCUAUUUUUGAUAGCGGGGUAGCGUUUCGAGGAGUUCGGAAAGGGAAAGCUCCGGAUAAGUGAUUUUGGAGUGCGUGUGAUCGGCCUAUAGGUAGGCUACGAUUUCCCUCUCUUAGAUUGAGCUCGAGAUUGUGAAUGCAUGUUGAUUAGUUGGGAUUUGGGUUGGAUAGUUAUUGAAUCACUUAUAUGUGUUUAAAAAUCUUGUUUCUGGCCUAUUUCGAUAAUUAUCGGAUAACUGUGAGUAUGCUUUGUGUUAUUAAUUGACCUUCCUCGCUAUGUGGAGUGCUUGCAUCCUUAAUUACUCUUUAUUGAAUCAUGUUAGGCCUUAGUUUAGGUUUGACUAGGGCUUGCCUUAGAAAUUCAUGAUUCAGAUCCAAUAGGCCUUAGUUUUUCCCCGAUGUCGCUCGGCCGGCUUAGAUCCCUGUAGACUGGUGUAGCAGACUUGAGUCUGAUAGUUUGGGCCUUAGCUAGGCAAUACGCUUGCUCUGAUGAUAGUUAUCCUUGUUUCUCCGAUACUGCGGCUUCACGAGUUACGUCAGCGACAUUAGUUCUGCUUCGCGAUUCGAAUUUGAGUUUUGAUUCAGUUCCAAGAACUUACAUUGAUUGGUUAAGUGUGGACGGCAUUCCACGGACAUUUAUGAGCAUGGAUCGAUUGGGACUCUUUCAGCAGCUACAUUGGCACCUUUAUAGAGCAUCCGGUUUAAGGUCCGGCCUCUAUUGCUCAGAUACCUAUAUAGAGCAUCCGGUUAGAGUUCCGGCCUCAGAUACUUGAUACUUGUGAUUGGUUGCUUGGGUACUUUUGGUGCGCAUCCGGUUCGAGGUCCGGCCUCCGUACUGUCAGAUUCUACUAAUUAGGGUUGAGGUUCUGGUUCGAUGUUCUUCGUUCUUGGGUUCCGCCAUCUAUUGCCCAAAUACUUAUAUAGAGCAUCCGGUUAGAGUUCCGGCCUCUAUUGCCCAGUUACUUAUAUAGAGCAUCGGUUUAGAGUUCCGGCCUCUAUUGCUCAGAUACUUAUAUAGAGCAUCCGGUUCGAGGUCCGGCCUCCGUACUGUCAGAUUCUACUAAUUAGGCAGGGUUGAGGUUCUAGUUCGAUGUUCUCCGUUCUUGGGUUCUUAUAUGCAAUUCUCUUUAGUUAUAGUUAUUCUGUGUACUCGUCGGGCUUAUGGGGGUCCGUUCGGGUUUUUAUUUAACUUGCGCACGAGUGUACCUUCUGGGCUUAUGGGGGUCCAGUUAUGUGUAGUUAGCUUAUAGAUUACUUUAGUUAGUUCUUUCUACACUCGUGUGCAUUCCAUUGUUACUUAGAUUUCCGCUCUUGACCUUCGGUUUAUAUUAUUCCUUCUUUUCAUAUUGCUUUUACUUUUCAAGUUCAGUCGGCCUAUGAUGCCUACUAGGUACCUGUUGUUGUGGUACUCAUGAUACGCUCUGCAUCUGUUUCGUGAUGCAGGUCCGAGCACCAGUGGCUAGCGUUGAUCCAGUUUGGAGUAGUCUGAUCCGGAGACGGGGGUGAGCACACGACGUUUUGUACUAUUUCAGUCUCCAUCUGUAUAUAUAGACUUGUCUUUUACCUUUCGAGACAGUCCAGUUUAUGUGGUCCAGUUUUGGGAUUUGUACUCGUUUUGUUAGUAGCUCUGUACUAGUGACUUCCAGGUUCUGGGAGGGAUCUUUAUUUGUAUAUAUGUUUUAGUUUGCUUCUGUCUGGUUAUGUUGUUAUCUUAAAUUGUGCCUGCUCUUGUUUAGUUUAUGCCCUCAGACCCAUUACUUGUUGUUACGGGCUGGCUUACCUAGUGGUGGGUUAUAGUAGGUGCCAUCAUGAUUCGAGGAAUCGGGUCGUGACAUACACCAAGUUCAUUUUUUCAAAUACCCUGUUGACUAGGGUUUGUGUCUGUUUGUCCAUAUUGGACGUUUCUCGACAAGAAAUCUGCAAAAGAAUUAUCAAUUCCUUUAAUAUGUUCUAUUUUGAAAGAAUAGAAAGAUAAUAGAACCUGCCAUCUAUGCAAUCUUCUAUAUUGAGGUUCUGAUGGUAGUUUGUUGAAGAUUAGUCCUGACACCUGUGUAUUAUCAGUCCUAAUAAUCAAUAGCUUUGGUAAAAGGAAAUCUGAAAAUUUUCUGAUUCCUUUAACGAUUGCUAAUAAUGCCUUUUGAUUAGUGGAAUAUCUUGUUUCUGUAUCGUUAAAUGUACCACUUGUGUACCUGCAAAUUUCAUUUAGAUCUGUUUGCAAUAGCGCUCCCCAGUGAUAAUCUGACGCAUCAGUUUUGUAAUACUAAAUUGUCAUUUUCAUCUGGUAAUCUAAGUUUUGGUAACUUAGAGCAUUCUUCUUUUAGAUGUUUUAUACAUUGUGUAUGUUCUUCGGUCCAUCCAAGUCAGUUGGAUUUUCUUAUCAAUUUCUGCAAUAGAUUCAUUUUUUUGCUAAAUCUGGAAUAAAUUCUCCUGCAUAAUUAAAGCAUCCAAGAAACCUUUGUAUUUCCUCUUUUGGAAUAUUUGGGGGGCAUUUUUUUCCACCCAAAUGGCAUUACUAUCCAUUCAUAAUGACCAUUAGGUGUACUGAAAGCAGUUAAUGGGAUAGAUUCCUCUGCUAAUUUUAUUUGCCAAAAUCCACUUUUACAGUCGAAUUUGGAAAAAUAAUUUUUUCCUUUAGCUAGAUUUGAUUAAAUUAUUUUUAUUUGGGAUAAAAUAUCCAUCAAAUAUACAAUUUUUAUUAAGCUCUUUAUAAUUUAUGACCAUUCGAGUUUUUCCUCUUUUUAUUUCAUCAUGGUUUCUUACCAUAAAUGCUAGGCUACUAUGGGGGCUUUUAGAUUGCAAAAGAGAUCUAGAAACAAGCUUAGAUUUAUGGUCUCAAAAUAUAUUACUUUAUUUCCUACUAGGAAAAGGAAUAAAUUAUACGAAUGAAGAAAAAUAUAUCAUCAUGAUAAAUACCUUUAUAGGAAAGGUAAAUGAUUGGUUUGCUGGAUUAACAGAAGAUGCUGAAAAAAUAAUAAAAAAAGAUACCUUAGAAGGGUUAGAAAGUUCAUUGCAAGAGGGUAUAACAAACCUAAAGCAAUAUAUAGCAAAUGAAUUCUUUGGUGGACAAGGAAGCCCUAUAGACAAUAGGGAAAAAGUUAGAACAAUUGCUAAAGAACAAUUGGAAAAGUUACAGAUAUGUAAAAUGAGUUAUAUUCAAGAAUACACUUGUGAAUUCGAAGAAUAUUACUAUAAAAUAUUUGAUAGUGGUAAAGAAAUGUUACCAUAUCUUGAAAAAUAUUAUCAAAAAUUACCAAGCUUCUGGGCAAAGUACUUCAGAGAAGAAUAUGAUAAAGAAAAUAAAAAAGGAGACACUCUUGGUCAAAGAAUAAACUUCUUAAAAAAUAGACUAGGUCAAUUAUGUAUGUCACACAACAUACAAAGAAAGGCUAAAAGAAUAAAUACACAAAUUUACUGCUUAGAUACAAACGCAGCCACCCAAUGGGGAUGUAACGAUGACAAACCUUUAAAAAGAAGAAAGAUCAGAAAGGGUUUAAUAAAAAGAAAAAAUAUUUCUAGGCAAAAUUAUGUACCUAGAAAAAGAUGCUACAAAAAAAAGAAAGAAUUUAAGAAAACAAAACCAACAGAAAAAUGCAAGUGUUACAAUUGUGGAGAAGAAGGCCAUAAAAGUUACGAAUGUAACAAAAAAACAGUAAAAAUAUCAAAAAUUAACAGAAUAGAAAUUGAUUCUGAUCUAGAGUCAGUAAAAUCAAUAGGAAGUGAAAACUUCUUUGAAGAAUUAUACGAAGAAUAUUCUACAGAUUCAAAUGAAUCAGAAUGAAUAAAGAAAUUCUAAAAGAAGAAGACAAUUCAGUUCAUACAUUAGAAACUGAAGAAGAUCAAAGAGGCUAUGCCCUAAAAACAACUUUUGAUGGAGAAGUAUUCAAAAAAAUCCAAGGAUUAAAACUAAAUCUUAAAAUAGAAGAUAAUCUAUUAAACCGAAUGCAAAGAAUUUUUGCAAGAAAUAAAAUACAAAAUAUUCUCUGACAAAAAAUUUCUAAUAGUCUAUAUAGAUGACAUAUUAAUUUUCUCUAAAUCAUAUGAAGAGCACUUAACUCUUAACUCAUCUGAAGAAAUUUUCAGACAUUUGUCUAGAAAAUGGAAUAGUUUUAAGCCAAAAAAAGACAGAUAUAAACAAAAAUGAAAUAGAAUUCUUAGGAAUGAUUAUUUCAAUAUAUAUAUAUAAUACUCAAAAUUUUCAAUAAAAUAGUGUCGAUCGACAGUCGACAGAAUUAGCCCUUGUUAAAUUGUCGCAUAUAUUCAAUAAUUAAAAUAUGUAUUACCUUUUUAUGUCUUAAAUUUUAGUAUCAUCCUUAAUUACUUUUGCCAAAUCUAUUGGAUUAAUAUCACCAAAAAAUGUGGUAAGCGUAUUAAAUAAGGCUAUUUCUCUUUAAUCAAAAGCGCGAUUUUAAGGCUUAGAUUAAAACCCAGAAUAGGAAUUAAGAAACAAAAUAAAAAGGAUGGUAGAAUUAGAUGGAGGGCAAAUACGUAAAGCACAAGAUACUCCACGUGUCUUAUCGUGAAACGUCAUUUGGGAGUGCUCUGUUCACGAGAUUCCGUAACACAUCCCCCAAAAGCCCUCGACUAAAAUUCUCUCUCUUGGUUGUUAUCACGUCGCUCAUCUAUUUCACAUGCUAAUAGUCAAAUUAACUCAUGCCUUCAUCAUUGUUGUAUCAAUCUCUGUUUAAUACACAAAGAUAUUGAUGGAAGUGAUCAAUCAGUCAACUCAGUACGCAAAAUUUCACUUUCAUCUCUUGUUUCUCUAGCAAAUUCUUCUCCAUUUUGACUUUUCUACAAUGGCACGGUGUCGUUUGCUUCUGUUCCUUGCUGCGCUUUCCUCUAUUUUUGGACUCCUUCAUGCCAGUGCUGGCGAUGCCGAUCCGAUUUACAGGUAAACACAGCUUCAUUCUUAUUUACUAUUUUCUACUGUUCAUAUGUAUCGGGUUUGUUUCCAGUUCUAGCUAAUUUCUGGUGAAUAGUGUAACUUAGCGGUUGAUGUUGCUCGAUUUACAAUUUAGAAUUCACGUAAGCAAUAGAAUGCUAGUAUCUGCCGUGUUCAUUAGUAUAUUUUCUGAUAUUUGUGUUCACUUUGAUUUCUGGAAUCAAUUGAUGAGCAUUUGUUAAGUAGAGGUGAUGUACCUAAGUUACUUGAUUAAGUGUGAGCUCGUACAUAUGAAAAGAUAUCUUCUGUAGUUUAUUGAGGUUAAAAGCUAAUUUGUAAAAGAGUAGAAAAUUUAGCUCUAUCUAGUGGCAUGAAGGUACAAAUUGUUGUUCGUAACUGCUGUGUAAAAAGAAGUGACUGGACUUGAAUUUGUAGUCUAACUGCUUGUAACAAAUUAGAGCUUUUUCUAGUCUAACUAUUUGGAACAAAUUGAGAUUUUCUCGAUAGAAAGCUGUAUAUUAUACUCCUCGAUUGGUUCACGGGGAUACUUAAUUCUGGAUUGGAACAUUGUUAGCCUGUUACUAUUAAAAAGAGGUGUUGAUCUUUAAUGAACAACAAUUGGAGGUAACUUUUCAACCAUAUUGGACUUUUUGUAAACCUUAGAAGUUAGAUCUGCUACAUUUGACCUUUCGAUUUAACUCUUGAAUGCUAUAUCAUACAAGUAGUUUUUUUUUUAUGAAGUGAAGGAUUUCAUUAAAGACAUCAAGGUGAUGCUAAAGGAAAAAGUGUACAAAGAAAGAGACUUAGUUCCCUUACAUGAGUAAUAAGCUAUCAAACAGCUCACAAAAUCCAAAAAACUGUUAACACCAUACAAGUAGGUGCUAGAAUCCUAGUUUUGCUGUUGGAUGUGUCUUGUCAGUGUUCGUUGCGUUCCUUAGGUUAUAAAGUGUCUUUCCAUGCUUAACUAUCUGUAGAUGGGCCACUAGAUGAUAUUCCCUUUUAGAUGGAUGCAUUAGUUUAUUGGAAACUAAUGCAUCUUGGCCUUUAAGUUUUCUCGUAGUAUGUUACCAAGCUAGUUUGGUGUAAUGGAACUUAUAUAUAGGCUCACUCUCAGUGUUCUCUGAGUUCCUUAGCUUAUCAAGUGUUUUUCAAUGCUGAACUAUCUGUAGAUGGGGCACUAGGUGAUAUUCCCUUUUAGAUGGAUGCAUGAGUUUAUUCAAAACUAAUGCAUCUUGGCCUUUAAGUUUUCUCGUAGUAUGCUACCUAGCUAGUUUGGUAUAAUUGAACUUAUAUAGGCUCAUUCUCAGUGUUCACUUUACCUUUGCUAACUUAAUCUUUUUAUGAAGUAAAUCAGAUAGCGAAACAGCUAAGAACUUUCAGAUAGCGAAACAGCUAAGAACUUGCACUCCUAAUGACAGUUCCACUGAGGAUACCUGUCUAAUGCCCUUCUCUUCCCCUCCUCCAUUAUGACAUGAUAAAAAAAACUGUAUUAUCUGGCAUCGGGAAUGGUCCAAAAGUUUAGGGUGAACUCGAAGUAGAUAUUGCUCCUCAAAACCUUUAUUUUUGUUGGAUUGAAUACAACUACAUAAUUAUAACAUUCAACUUUCAAAGACCUAUAUAAUCCUGUUAACUAUGGCUUCUUGCUUCUUUGUCGAGACAUAACUUGAUACAAAUCAUUGCUCUGUAUUUCUAAGUUCUUCUUGGUUCAUAUAAGUUUACCAAUUGUGACACGCUGUCAAAAUCCCAACGAACCAGGGUACUGUAUGUUAUGCUAUUAAGUGGGGCCAAAUUAAAGUAAAGGAAGCCCCAUAUGCUCAAAGCUCAUGUGUGGUGCCAAAGCUAGUAAAGAAAUGAAAUUCCAUAUUUGCUUUGACAGACACGAGAGGUUGGACCUGGUAGGCUCUCGUUGGACAUGGAAUACAAUAAAGAACAAAGGACUGCAUACUCUCGAGCCAUAUAAAUGUGUAACCAUAUUUUCUCUAAUUUCUGGAUCAUAUUGUUCUGUAAGUUUUCUUUCUGAUGGGAGAAAAGAAAUACAUGAAAGUAAUGCAUGCCUAUACUCUUUUAGUGUAAUCCUCUAGCUUGCUUUGAUCUAUGUCCCAGUCUAUCUUCUGGUGUCUUGGGGAGUUGGGCAGCACCUGGAUUUUACUAAUUUGCAUGUUAUAGGCUGAAUCCCAAGAUAAAUUCAAUUUCCUGUUAUUAAUCUACAACACUUCUUUUUGAUGUUACGUUCACUUCAUGCCCUUAGACUUUGAAAUUGCUUCUUUGACAGUGCUUGUGUUGAUCAAUGUGAAAAGACUGGAUGUGUGGGGGACGAAUGCUCUCAACAUUGCAAUUUUACUUCCGGGGGGGUUCCCGUUGAUGGUCCAUGGUAUCUACAGGAACCACUUUAUCUGAGAUGGAAACAAUGGGACUGCCUUAGUGAUUGUCGUUACCACUGCAUGCUUGCCAGAGAGAAAGAACGGAAGAAAGUUGGUCUUAAGCCUGUCAAGUAUCAUGGAAAAUGGCCUUUUCAGCGUGUCAAUGGAAUCCAGGUUCUUCAGACUAUUAAGUUGGCAUUUUCUCCUUGUUAAGCACGCUAGUUCUAGGCUGUAUUGUUGUUAGUAUCCUAAACUAAGUCUUUCAUGGCCAGGAACCUGUUUCUGUAGCUCUUUCCGCUCUUAACCUUGCCAUGCAAUUCCAUGGAUGGGUAUCCUUUUUCAUUUUUGUGAAUUACAAGCUGCCAUUUAAGCCAAACAGAAAGCCAUUUUAUGAAUACACUGGCUUGUGGCAUAUCUACUCUAUUUUUGCAAUGAACUCCUGGUUCUGGAGUGUUGUUUUCCAUAGUAGGUGAGAUAUUGUUUAUUUCUCUUUUCUUGUAGCUAACUCUUUCUUUUGCAAGAGAUCUCCGAUUAAAAUUGCUGCAUUUCGUGAACAACAUUUAUGCAUAAAUCAAGUAGCUUGAAACUGUCUCUGAAGAUAUAUAGUUUCUCCUUCUUGGUUAUUGGCUUCUCAUCAAUAUUGUAUUACUGGUUAAAGUAUGAGAUUUUUUCGCUGAUAACAAGCUUUGUCUAGGUGUUUGUGCCACAGAGAUCAUAUGAACGUCACGUUAAUGUGAAAUUGUGAAUUAUUACUUUGGUGUCCGACAGUCUGAGAAGUGAGUACAAUUUACGUUCUCUAGCUUCUCCUUAUGAGUGGAAUUGUUAAGGGCACAGUGGGCAGAUUGUUUGGUGUACAUAGAAGUAGCUGCUUGCAAUUUUUCAGUUCUUUGACUGUUUAAUUCUGGCUGUUGUUUGAGCCCAUUGCUUCUUUAGUAAUUGUGAUGAAAAGUUAGUCUAGUUUUUUUAUCACAGUAAAACAAUCCUGAAUUAUUUGCAUGGUGUACUGUAAUAAGAAGCUAGUCUAACUUUUCAGCACAAUUACCAACGAAUUAAUGGCCUCACCAUUUCUUCUGGGGCAAUAUUUGCUUGGUUGUGAUAAUGUUCUAUCUUGUUAAAUCACAGCAACAAAUACCACACCUCAAUUCCAAUCUAGUUGGGGUCGGCUGUAUGAAACCUCAUCAUCAUAAAUGCUUUGUUUGGGUCCAUAAUAUUUCGAUACUUCAUACAGAAGGAUUAUCUAACAGUAAAGGGUCUCUGGUAUACUUUAAUGGUUACAUCUUUAAUAUACUAAAGAGUCUCUUAAUAAGCAUUAGUCGUCUAGUUGGUAUCACCUAUGCAGAUUUUCAACUUUCAGUUUUUCUCUAUCUUUUGCUAGAUCUGCCUGGAUUCUCAGAUAUUCUAUUUUUUUUCAAUUAACGACCCGUAGGACUUCCUACGGUCUGUAGGUUGGCUCACAGAACCUGUAGCAGUGCCGAAAAUGCAACCUUUCCUUUCCAAUUCAACUUUUCAAUUUCUGAGGUGUUACAAUAUCUCCGUCUUGGGAACGUUCAUCUUCGAAUGAGACUGAAACUUGCAUGAAUAGAGUAGGGACAGAAACUAACUGUCCAAAAUGAAUGCAAUUUACAUCAUAAUGCACAUAAUGACAUAAACAAGGAGUAAUCGACCCCAAGCUAACAUAAACCCAAAACAAGUUUUUUUAUAAACUGCAUGCGUAUGGAAACAUGAGAAUGACUAAAAUGCAUGAAUCCAAAAGAAUGAAUCAUGAGGAACUUAAUACCUCAAGCUAUAAUAGGAGCGGAGGGAAAGAGAUGAGAAUACUUGGACAUCAUAACGGAUUCGGCUUCCCAAGUAGCACCAUCAACUAAUUGAUUCCUCCAAAGAACUUUUACAGAAGCAACUUCAUUAUUUCUCAAUUUUUGAACUUGACGAUCCAAAAUUUCAACCGAAAAUUCUUCGUAAGAAAGACUUUCCUUAACUCCCAAACUUUCCAAUGGCACUAUAAUGUCGGAUCUCCAACACACUUUUUCAACAAGGAGAUGGAAUACCGGAUGCACCGAUGCCAAAUUGGAAGGUAACUUUAAUUCAUAGGCCACCUUACUAACACGCCUCAAAAUUUGAUAUGACCCAUACCGGGGAUUAAUCUUCCCUUUCUUUCCGAACCUCAUCACACCUUUCAUGAACUAAACCCAAUCAUCAACAUCAAAUUCAAGCUCUCUUCUUCUAACAUCAACAUAAGACUUUUGUCGGUUUUGAGCCGUUUUCAACCCUUCUCUAUUAAGUCGAACCGUCUCCAUAGCCUCAUGCACCAACUCGGACCCUAUCAAAGCGACUUCACCAACUUCAAACCAACCAUAAGGAGACAUACAUCUCCUACAAUAGAGAGCCUCAAACAUAGCCAUUUGGAUACUUGAGUGAUAACUAUUAUUAUAAGCAAACUCAAUAAAAGGAAAGUGAUCAUCCCAAUUACCUUUAUAGUCAAUCACGCAAGCUCUCAACAUAUCUUUCAAAAUCUGAAUAGUAUGCUCGGCUUGUCCAUCGGUCUCAGGAUGAAAAACCGUACUAAGCUUUACUUGAGUACUAAGACCUUUAUGAAACGACCUCCAAAAUUGAGACGUAAUCUGAGUACCAUGAUAGAGAUAAUGGAUAAAGGCACCCCAUGCAACCUUACCAUUUCCCAAAUAUAAGUUUCGCAUAAUCUUCGGCUGAAAAUGAAGUCUUCACCGGAAGAAAAUGACCCGACCUUGUCAUUCGGUCCACAAUGACCCAAAUCGAGUCAAAUUGUUGACGAGUACAAGGUAAACCUGUAAUGAAGUCCAUAUUCAAAUCUUCCCACUUCCAAGUAGGAAUGCUAAUGUCUUGAGCCAAACCACCCAGUUUUUGAUGCUCAACUUUCACUUGUUGACGAUUUGGACACUUAGCCACAAAUUCUGCAAUAUCCUUAUUCAUCUCAUUCCACCAAUAGACCUCCCGCAAAUUGUGGUACAUCUUGGUGGCUCCCAGGUGAAUAGAAUGCUGAGAACUAUGAGCUUUCACCAAAAUCUGAUUCCUUAACUCAUCGAAUUUGGAACACAUAAUCGACCUUGGUAACAAAGAACAUCAUCUUCCCUUGGAAGAAAGCCUCAAUGGCUUUUUCGGAAACUGAUUUCCUCAAUUCAACCAUAACUGGAUCAAGAUCUUGCUUAGCCUUCACAUCCGAAACAAGAGACGAUUCCGAGCCAUUUUGAACAAUCACACCACCUUCAUUGGAAUCAACCAAGCCAACACCCAAUUGGGCCAGUCUAUGAACAUCACAUACUAACUCUUUCUUACUAUCCUCAACAUGAGCAACACUACCCAUCGAUAGUCGACUAAGAGCAUUGACCACCAUAUUCGCUUUACCCGAAUUAUAAAGGACAUUCAUGUCUUAAUCAUUCAAUAACUCAAGUCAUCUCCUUUGGUGAAGAUUCAAGUCCUUUUGGGUGAACAUGUAUUUCAAGCUCAUAUGGUUGGUGAAAGCAUCCACAUGAACACCAUAUGGGUAAUGUCUCCAAAUCUUUAAGGCAAAAACCAUUGCCACUAACUCCAAGUCAUGAGUCGGAUAAUUCUUUUCAUGCACCUUCAAUUUCCCGAAGAAUAGGCAAUAACUUUCCCAUGUUGCAUCAAAACACAACCAAGACCAAUCCGUGAAGCAUCACAAUACACCACAAAACUAUCCGAUCCUUCCGGUUAUGUCAAAAUAGGGGAUGAAGUGAGUCUAUCCUUCAAAUUUUGGAAACUCUUCUCACAAACUUCCGACCAUAGAAUUUUCACCUUCUGUUGAGUCAACGUCGUCAAAGGCGAAGCAAUAGAAGAAAAUCAUUCCACAAACCUUUUAUAUUAACCGGCUAAACCCAAGAAACUCCGUAUAUCUGAAGUGGAUAGAGGUCUAGGUCAGUUCGUAACCGCCUCGGUCUUCUUAGGAUCAACUUGAAUACCAUCUCCGGAGACAAUAUGGCUAAGAAAAGCAACAAACCUCAACCAUCUCCGAUACUGCACAUAUGUUAUUUGGCACUUCUACAUAGGUGUAGUUUUUUUUGAUAACCGAGAAAUUCUCGAGGGCUAGUGGCGCACGCAGCAGAUAAUCUCCCUUUUCCCCUUAAAUACCAGGCUUUGUCUUGCAGCGGUGUUUGAACCCGUGAUGUGUGGAUUAUGCCUUCUUACCACUAGACCAAAGCCUUGGGGGCAUUUGUAAAUAGGUUUACUUUGUAUUCAUCAUAUUAUCAAGUCAUCAACACAUCAUCUGUUCUCUUAUUUUCUCAAAUAGCUUGCGGUUUCUCAUUUGUGAAUUUCCAUGUUCUGAUGUUUUGAAAUUUUGUAGGGACGUAGACUUGACUGAGAAGCUAGACUAUUCGUCUGCUGUUGCAUUGUUGGGUUUUUCUCUCAUCCUGGCUGUAUUGAGAGUCUUUAGUGUGACAGAUGAGGCAGCAAGAGUAAUGGUUUCUGCUCCGCUUGUUGCAUUUGUGACAACCCACAUCUUGUAUCUAAACUGUUACCAGCUUGACUAUGGUAUGUCCACUUCACAAUUACUUGACAGAGUAUAUUGCAUGCUCAUGAUAAAGUUUGCCUUGUACAAUCUCCGGCUAAUUGAAAAAUAACACAGCCAAUAAGUUUGAAAUAUAUACAAAAUUAGUUUGUAACAUCAAUCAACACUAUUAGUUUCCUAAACAUGUUCUAUUUCACCUCCUUUAUCUUUCUCAUUUGAAUUUUUAACUUUGUUUAUUUCUCAAUGAUCAGUAGUAUCACAUAUUUGAAAGAUUUUGGUUCCAUUUUCUGUUGAUAUAAUUAUGGGAUCAAAGCAAUAAUAAUAUCCUAAUAACAAAAAUAUUAGUUACUCCAUACGUAAGAAUAAACUUAAUAACUGAACUAAUUACCAUAAACUUAUUACAUUCUGUGGCCUAAAUCUGUUAACAAUAUUUGUAACAUUAUGAGGACUAGUUAUGAGUUUAUGUAUUGCACCUUUAGAAUAAAAAAACUGUAGGUUCUUAUAAUUUAAGGUGCUCGUGAAUUAUUUUUUGACAAUAGUAAGUGUGAUGGUAAAAGAAGUCAUAUGUCAAAAAUAAAUAAUGAUAAGAAAAUGCAGAGACUGUUGUUGCAAUUUGUGUAUGAACUGAAGAAACAAAAUAUGUUACAGACGGCUGAAUUUCUUCUGACUUCCAAUUUUGAUUGUUGAUACUUGCCUUGUGUCACUUUUUUGAAUUAACAAUACUGUAUGAUAGUCUUGGCUCUUUGAUUUCAUGAAUGUGUCUCAAGUGUUGUAGAGUAGGAAAGCUGAUGUUGCUCGAUCACAUUGCAGGGUUAAACAUGAAAGUCUGUUUGGGUAUGGGAAUUCUGCAGCUCAUCUUAUGGGCUGUCUGGGCAGGGGUUACUCGCCAUCCAUCACGCUGGAAAUUAUGGGUGGUGGUGAUUGGCGGAGCUCUUGCUGCACUCCUUGAGAUAUAUGACUUUCCUCCCUAUAGGGGUUUUGUGGAUGCCCAUGCUCUAUGGCAUGCCACCACCAUUCCUCUGACCUACUUGUGGUGGAGCUUUGUGCAGGAUGACAGUGAAUUCAGGACAACAACUCUCAUCAAGAAAGCAAAGUAGAUUGAAGAAUUGUGUGCUUCAUUCUAAUUGCUAAUGUGUAUGAAAUCAUUGCUUGUUUAGGGUCUUUGCUAGUAGU